GGGUCUCGGCGAGGUUUUCGACGUGUGUGGUCCGCGCCGAGGUGAGCAUAGUUGCUUGCUCACGAGUGCCAACUUAACGAUCGUACGCAACAUCAAUCGAUCGUUCGGUCUCUUUUCAUCUGCGGCUCGGCGUGCUGUGCUUUUUUGCUCGUCCCGACCAACAGGAAUCCGUGAGAUGGAAUAAAGCUCGGCGCGUGAGAUGCGCUGCCAACGAUGAGGUUUUCCGAUUGGGAGCGAACACCGAACAAGCUGUUAACACAUUCGUGCAACCACUGGACGACCAUGUGACCAUGAUAUGACGAAAUCACAUCAGAAUUACUUCUUGUCCCAAAGCGGUCCGAUUCAUGUUUUAUACGUCUCCUCAGAGUCUGCCGCUUCUUGGUAAUUCAACAAGCGUUGGAUUCGAUCGGAAUUCAUUUCCAUUCGGGAUUCCAAUGAUAAUGAAUCGGGCGCGCUCGCCUCGGCGAGAUAAUCAGCGCUCGUUUAACGUCAGCGCCUGUUUUCUAAUAAGGCGUUUUUCGAUUGCGCGCGGACAUCUGCUCGCGAUGCGGCGGAAAAAAACGUUUAUUACAUAAAUUCCCCAACGGGCAGACACAUGCAUGGAUUCACAUGUGUAACAUUAAUAACAGUAGGAUUUACGCUUUUAUUAUAAUUGAUUUACGCAGGAAUUCGAAUGGAUAAAGCCGUUAUCAAUAAAUGUCUUCGAUGUUUAAA